rnacentral:rRNA from 1 species
ACAUGAAGCCGGAAUCGCUAGUAAUCGCGGAUCAGCACGCCGCGGUGAAUACGUUCCCGGGCCUUGUACACACCGCCCGUCACACCACGAGAGUUUGUAACACCCGAAGUCGGUGAGGUAACCUUUUUGGAGCCAGCCGCCUAAGGUGGGAUAGAUGAUUGGGGUGAAGUCGUAACAAGGUAGCCGUAUCGGAAGGUGCGGCUGGAUCACCUCCUUUCUAAGGAA